CUUUACCAGGUGCCGCCAGGCAGCACUGCGAGUGGAGUGUCUCGGUCGUGGUUGGGUGCCGCCAGGAGCCGCUGUGGCCGGCCCUGUCAGUCCUGGUGCACGGUCUCCUCGCUGACACACCGGGCUUGUGACCGGUUUCUCUCCGCUGCCUCUGCAGCCGGUCGAACAAUUCUACCGCCGCCGGCCUCGCCGUCCCUAACCUUGGCCUCCUCGCACUUUUGCUCCAGCGUUGCCUGCCUUCCCUAGCUGGGGCCCGCUCUCGUUGACCGGUCCUUUCCUACCUACCCGCCCCGGUGGAGGCUUCCGCUGGCUCCCCGGACCCCUUUGCUGAAGUUAAGCCGGGAGGUGCUGUGCUGGUUGUGGCUGGGCCUGGCUCCCAAUAGUCGGUGUGUCCGGUGGCGGUGCGGUCUGUCUCCCACCCCCGCGGUAUCCCGCUGGGGAUUUCGCCCUUUUAUCCCUGAGCUGAGCCCUGGCUCUGCCAUGCCGGGUCCGGCUACCGGGAGCAGGGCACGCGUGUAUGCCGAGGUAAACAGCCUAAAGCCCCGCGAGUACUGGGAUUACGAGUUGCACGUUCCUGAGUGGGGUAACCAGGAUGAUUACCAGUUGGUGCGAAAACUUGGUCGCGGGAAAUACAGUGAAGUAUUUGAGGCUAUUAACAUAACAAACAAUGAGAAAACGGUUGUCAAAAUACUGAAGCCUGUGAAAAAGAAGAAGAUAAAGCGUGAAAUCAAGAUACUGGAAAAUCUCCGUGGGGGUCCCAACAUCAUCAAGCUGCUAGAUGUGGUAAAAGACCCCGUGUCGAGGACUCCAGCUCUUGUUUUUGAGCACAUUGAUAACACUGAUUUCAAGCAACUGUAUCAGAUCUUGGUGGAUUAUGAUAUCCGGUUCUACAUGUAUGAGAUUCUCAAGGCCUUGGACUACUGCCACAGUAUGGGCAUUAUGCACAGGGACGUGAAGCCGCAUAAUGUGAUGAUCGACCAUACCCAGAGAAAGCUUCGGUUAAUUGACUGGGGACUGGCUGAGUUCUAUCAUCCUGAGCAAGAAUACAAUGUUAGAGUGGCCUCCAGAUAUUUCAAAGGUCCUGAGCUGCUAGUUGAUUACCAGAUGUAUGAUUAUAGCCUUGACAUGUGGAGUUUGGGGUGUAUGUUGGCCAGUAUGAUAUUUCGUAAGGAGCCAUUCUUUCAUGGACAUGAUAACUAUGAUCAGCUUGUUCGCAUUGCCAAGGUUUUAGGAACUGAUGAAUUGUUUGACUACCUCAAGAAGUACCACAUCGAACUGGACCCUCGGUUUAAUGAUACUCUUGGCCAGCAUUCUCGAAAGCGUUGGGAGCAGUUUAUUCACAGUGAGAAUCGGCACCUGGUUAGUCCAGAGGCCUUGGAUUUGUUGGAUAAACUACUUCGUUAUGAUCAUCAGCAGAGACUCACAGCUAAAGAAGCAAUGGAGCAUCCAUACUUCUAUCCAAUUCUGAAGGAACAUUCGGAUGGUGCUCGGAAUAACAACUCGCAUGUGCCUGGUGUUUCCGCAGCUGUGCGGUGAAUCCUGGUGGCAUAGUUCAUUUUGCAAGAUGGAGUUUUGGAUUUACGGGGAGACAUUGGACAAACAAGGAGCUAACACAGUCUGGAAAUGUGAACUUGUGACUGCAGCAACACAGAUUAUUUAACAACAGUCCCAGUUGGAAUAGAUUUACUGCUUUAGAGGCUGCAGAAAAUCACUCAACAGUAAUGGAACUUGACUGCUGGCGCAAACCUUGUGUUGUCAUUCUGAAGUAUCUUUGGGUUUUGUCCAAAUUGUCUGAGCAAAUAAUUCUUUUCCCUGAGCCCAUUUGCUACAAGGUAGUGCAUGGAGUAGAGCAAAAGUGCACUUCAUUUUAAGUAUGUACCAGUUGACUGAGUUUGUGUGGGGUUGGUACAAUGAUGUGAUGUUCCAGAUUAUGGCAGCUGCCAUCCCGAAAUCCAGAUUAACAAAAUCAGUAAGACAUGGGAUUCAUUGGCAUUUAUACACAAGUGUUUGGAUUAUAAAACUACUGUAACCUUUUUAAAUUCAGAAUAAAAAAAACUGAGCAAUGUAAAUAUUCUACAGUUCCUUUAUCAAUGAUGACCACAACUAGUGUUUUUGCAUUUUACCUCCCAAAUUUGGGAAUGGCUUUCAAAGAAUUGAGUUUCCAAGUGAAACUGAAAGGAGUUUAAACACUUAAGAAGCACCAGUACAUGCCUGAUACAAUAAUAAAAUGUGUAUUAUACUUAAUGCAAUGUAAAUCAUUCUUACAAAUAUAAACAGUUACAUUGCACCAAAGGGAAAUUGUUUUUGUAGGGUUUUAAUACCAGAAAUACAACUGGGAAGAGAAACAAUGUUGCAACAAGCCUGAGGGGCUGAAUAGCUGCUUCUGUUCUUCCUGUUUAUAAUGCUUAAAAUUAAGCUUAUUUUUUAUAUUUUAGACAAUGAAACUGCCAGGUUUUUGCUUUCAGUUGCUAUAUAAUUUUAUAGCAUGCGAAGUAAAUCCUUGUUCUUCAACUUUGUGCUCAACAUUCUGUUUUUAACUUAAAAAUAAACCAAAUUAAUCUAAUUUUCUGAGCACAAACACAAGCAAAUUUGCAGAUGCUGGAAAUUCAAGCAACACACGCAAAAUGCUGGUGGAAUGCAGUAGGCCAGGCAGCAUCUAUAGGAAGAAGCACAGUCGACGUUUCGAGCCGAGACCCAUGAAGGGUCGAAAUGUCAACUGUGCUUUUUCCUAAUUUUCUGAGGCCAGGGAUGUGUGUCUGACCUAAUUCAUAACCGAUAUGCUAAUAUCCCAUUCCUCUCUAAGAAAAUGUUUGCUGCACUUAGUGUGUGGUUAUGAAAACCUCCUUGCUCCUGUAAAUCCUCUCUUGCUUGCUGUUACAGUCACAAUUUAAGUUCCUGCUUUAUUUAGAGAUGCAGUACAGAACAGGCCCUUCCAGUCCAAUGCAUUGCCCUGCAACACACUUAUUUAAUACUACCCUAACCACAGAACAAUUUAUAAUGAUUAGUUACCUACCCUACAAUGAUUACUACUAAUCCGUAUGUCUUUGGACUGUGGGACUAAACUGAAGCACUCUGAGGAAACCCAUUCGUCCACGGGUAGAAUGUACAAACUCCUUUUAGACAGCGCUGGCAUUGAACUCCAUACUCAGCAGCACCCUGCAUUGUAAUAGCUUCGUGCUAACUGCUACGCUAUAGUAGUGUGCCGUCAUUAUCUUAAUGAAUUUUGAAACUGUUCAUGAUUUCAAUGGAACAAUGUCUGGUAUUGCAAAUGUAAAUUUCCCGGGUGCUCAACUGCAGAUUUUAUUCCUCUUUUAGUGUUAAAUGUUUUCAUUUCUAGGUUUGAGUCAUAAUCUUUAUGCAAUAUGGAAAUGAAUACUUAUUGACAUGUUUUACUAUAUAAGCAUGGGGAGGUCACAUGAAGCAGAAUACAAAGCUGCAUUUAUAGAAGAUUUAGUGGGAUAAUUAAGCUGCUGGCUUCUGAAGCACAAACAUACAGCUGCAAACUGAGUGAACAAGUUAAAUCUACUAUGUCCAGUCAAUGAGAAACCAAGGAUUACAUAUAGCAUGAAAGAAGGUAACCUGUCUCAAUGACCGUCAUCCAGUAGCAAUUACAUCUACAGAAGUGAUUUGAGAAGUUAGUGAUGAAGCAUAUCAACCCCUGCCUGAGAUUUGAUCUGCUCCAAUUUGUCUACUUGCACAACACAUCCACAGCAGAUGCUAUUUCAUUGGCUUUUUACUCAACCCUAUAACAUCUGGACAGCAAAGAUACGUAAAGCAGAAUGCUCUUCAUAAGCUACAGUUUAGCAUUCAAUAGUAGCAUUCCCUGAAAACUAAUCAAUAUGCUUCAGUGCCUUGGCCUUUACCUCCUUGUGCAAUUGGAUCCUUGACUUCCUCACUUUCAGACCCCACUCAGUUUGGAUUGGCAAUGAUAUACCUCCACGAUCUCCAUCAGUGCAGAUGAUAACUAGCCCACCAGUUGUGAGUUGGAGAGCUACGAAACAGGAGGUGGCACAUAGGUCCAGGAGCAAAGUUUAAAAGGGGAAAGCUUUGCAGAAACUCAGCUAUAACCGGCGCACCAAUCGUAUAUUGGAGAACAGGGAAGGUUCAGGGAUAAAAGGAAGACACUGCCUAGUGGAGCACUCAUCGGAGUGGUCUGAGUCAGAGUGGUAGGGCUUUGGCUCAUUUGGGUUUUGGCAAGGUAAGUGGACUUCGUUUUCUCCUUGCAUUUUUUUGAGGAAUAGAGAGCAUGUAUAUAGUACUUUGGGUGUCAGAUGUGGGAGUCCUGGGAAUCUUCCAGUCUCCCAGAUGGCCACAUCUGUGCCAAGUGCAUGGAGAUGCAGCUCCUGAGAGAGCAUGUUAGGGAUUCUGGAGCUGUGGCUUGAUGACUUACAGUUUAUUAGAGAGUGAGCAGAGUAAUAGAGUUGGGGUUUAAACUCAUUUGACAGGGGGAUGGGAAUUACAGUGAUAGGGCUGAGGAAGGGAGAAACAAAUAAAUCAAAGAUGAUUUGCAACAGAAAUGAUAGAAAGGACAGGCAGGAGAUGAGGCAUAAUCACAGCCAGUGGAAUGAGUUAACAGGACAAUAGAGGCUUGGUGCAGUUAAAACAGAAAGCAAUAAAUACUGGACUGAAAGUGUUGUAUUUGAAUGCACGCAGCAUAAGAAAUGAAAUGGAUGAUCUUGAAAUUCAGCUAUAGUGUGGUAAGUAUGACAUUGUGGCCAUCUUUGAAACUUGGCUAAAGGAUGCUGCCAUUGGGAACUGAACAUUCAAGGAUAUGAUGUAUCAGAAAGAUAGGUUAGUAGGCAAAGGGGGUGGUGUGGCCCUGUGGAUAAGAAAUAAUAUUAAAUCAUUAGAAAGGGAUGACAUAGGAUCGGAAGGUGUAGAGUCUCUAUGGGUUGAGUUAAGAAAUGGCAAGGGUAAAAGGACCCUGAUGGCAGUUGUAUACAGGCCUCCAAACAGCAUUCAGGGUGCAGAUCACAAAUUACAGCAGGAGAUAGAAAAGGUGUGUCAGAAGGGCAAUGUCAUGAUAAUUGUUGGGGUUUUUCACAUGAAAGUGGAUUGGGAAAACCAGGCCAGUACUGGAACUCGAGAGAGAAUUUGUAGAGUGUCUAAGGCAUGACUUUUUAGAACAGCUUGUUGUUGAGCCUACUUGGGGAUCGGCUGUGCUGGAUUGGGUGUUGUGCAAAUGAUCCGGAGAUGAUAAGAGCUUAAGGUUAAGGAACCUUUAGGGAACAGUGAUCACAAUAUGAUUGAGUUCACUUUGAAAUUUGAGAAGGAGAAACUAAAUUCCAAUGUCAUUAUUUCAGUGGAAUAAAGGAAAUUACAAUGGCAUGUAAGGGGAAGUGGCCAAAGUUGACUGGGAAAGGACACUAGCAGGAAGGACAGCAGAGCAGCAAUGGUUGGAGUUCCUGUGAAAAAUGAGGGAAGUGCAAGACAGAUAUUCCAAAUAAAUUUUCAAAUGGAAGGACACUACCAUGGCUGACAAGUGAAGUCAGAACCAAAGUAAAAGCAAAAGAGGGCAUACAAGGAAGCCAAAGCUAGUGGGAAGAUAGAGGAUUAGAAGCUUCUAAAAAAAAAAAAAAAAAAAAAAAAUUGCAGAAGGAAACUAGGAAGGUCAUUAGGAAGGGAAAGAUGAAUUAUGAAAGGAAGCUGGUGACUAAUAUCAAAGAAGAUAUUAAAAGCCUUUUUAAGUAUAUAAAGGGUAAAGGAGUUGAGGGUAGAUUUAGGACCAAUAGAAAAUAAUGCUGGAGAUAUUAUAAUGAGAGACACAGUGAUGGCAGAGGAACUGAAUGCAUAUUUUGGAAGACAUCUGCAGUAUACUGGGCAUACAAGAGUGUCAGGGAAGUGAAUAAUGUGCAGUGAAAAUUAAGAUAGAGGGGGUGCUCAGUAGCUUAUUAAUGGUCUUAGGGUGAAUAAGUCUCCUGGACCUGACGGAAUGCACUCUCAGCUUCUGAAGGAAGUAGCUGGAGAGACUGCAGAAGCAUUGACAAUGAUCUUUCAAGAAUCGAUAGAUUCUGGCAUUGUACUGGAUGACUGGAAAAUUGCAAAGAUACUUCACUACUUAAGAAAGGUGGCAGGCAGCAGAAAGGAAACUAUAGACCUGUCAGCCUGACAUCAGAGGUUGGGAAGAUGUUGGAAUCUAUUGUUAGGGAUAAGAUUAUGGAGUACCUGAAGGCACAUGACAAGAUAGGCCAAAGCCAGCAUGAUUUCCUGAAAGGAAGAUCCUGCCCGACUAACCUACUGCAAUGUUUUGAGGAAAUUACAAGCAGGGCAGACAAAGGAGAUGCAGUAUAAGUGUGUACUUGGAUUUUCAGAAGGCCUUUGACAAGGUGCCGCAAGUGAGGCUGCAUAGCAAGAUAAAAGGCCAUGGAAUUAUAGGGAAGUUACUAGUGUGGGUGGAGCAUUGACUGAUUGGCAGAAAACAGUGGGAAUAAAGGGAUCCUAUUCUGGCUGGCUGCCUGUUACCAGUGGAGUUCCAUGGGGUUGGUGUGGGACCACUGCUUUUUAUGGUGUAUGUCAAUGAUAUGGACUAUGUGAUUAAUAGAUUUGUGGCUAAAUUUGCUGGUGAUACAAAGAUAGGUGGAGCAGGUAGUGUUGAGGAAAUGGAGCCUACAGAGAGACUUGGAUAGUUUUAGAGGAAUGGGCAAAGAAAUGGCAAAUUAAAUACGAUGUUGGUAAGUGUAUGGUCAUGCACUUUUGUGGAAGAAAUAAAUGGGCAGACUUAUUUGGGGAGAGAAUUCAAAAUGUAGAGAUGCAAAGGGACUUGGGAGUCUUUGUUCAGGACACCCUAAAUGUUAACCUCUAGGUUGAGUCAGAGGUGCAGAAGGUGAAUGCAAUGUUGGCGUUAGUUUCUUGAGAUGUAGAAUAUAAGAGCAGGGAUGUGAUGUUGAGGCUCUAUAAGGCACUUGUGAGACCACACUGGGAAUAUUGUGUGCAGUUCUGGGCUCCCUAUUUGGAAAGGAUACACUGACAUUGGAGAGGGUUCAGGGAAGAUUUAUGAGAAUGAUUCCAGGAAUGAAAGGGUUACUGUUUGAGGAAUGACUGGCCUGUAUUCCCUGGAGCUCAGGAGAAUGAGGGGGAAUCUCAUUGAGACAUUCCAAAUGUUAAAAGGUCUGAGCAGAUUAGAUAUGGCAAAGUUAUUUCCCAUGUUAAGGGAAUCUAGGAUUGAAGGACAUCCAUUUAGAACAGAGGUGCAGAGAAAUUACUUUAAUCAGAGGGUGGUAAAUCCAUGGAAUUUGUUGCCACGAGCGGCUAUAGAGGACAAGUCAUUGGGUACAUUUAAGGCAGAGAUAGGUUCUUGGUUAUCCAGGGCAUCUAUGGAGAGAAGGCAGGGAAGUGGAAAUGACAGGAAGAAUGGGAUCAACCCAUGAUUGGCAGAGCAGACUCGAUGGGCCAAAUGGCCUACUUCAGUUCCUAUAUCUUAUGGAUGCAUCACAGGGCUGUGUGCUUAGCCCCCUGCUCUACUCUCUUUACAGUGGAGCUGUGCUUAGCCACACAGUCAUAAAGCCAUAUUUGUUUGCUGAUGACAUCACUGUGAUUGGCCAACUCAAAAGUCAUGACAAGUUAGCAUACAGGAGGGAGAUUGAAAAUCUGACUGAGUGGUGCUGCAACAACAGCAUCUUAUGCCAGCACACCAAGGAGCCGAUUAUUGAUUUCAGGAGAAGGAAGCUGGAGGUUCAUGAGCCAGUCCUCAGUGGAGGAUCAGAGGUGAAGAGGGUCAGCAACUGUAAAUUCCUCUUAUUUCAUGUGGCCUGUCCUGGGCUCAGUAUGUAGAGCAAUUACAAAGAAAGCAUGGCAGUGCCUCUGCUUCCUUAGAAGUGUGCAAGGAUUCGACAUUACAUCUAAAACACUAACUUCUACAGAAGUGUAGUGGAGAGUAUAUUAACUGGCUGCAUCACAGUCUGGUAUGGAAACACAAAGCCUUUGAACAGAAAAUCCUACAAAAAGUUGUAAUACAGCCCAGUACAUCACAGUUAAAGCCCUCCCCACUAUUGAGCACAUCUACAUGGAGUAAUGUCACUGGAAAGCAGCAUCCAUCAUCGGGGACCCCUACCACCCAGGUCAUGCUCUUUUCAUUGCUGCCAUCAGGAAGAAGGUACAGGAGCCUCAGGACUCUCACCACCAAGUUCAGGAACAGUUAUUAACCUCAGCCAUCUCAGGCUUGUGAGCCAGAUGGGAUAACUUACCUCAGCUUCACUUCCCCCCCCCCUCCCCCCAAAUAUCUGAACUGUUCCUACAACUUGUGCACUCACUUUCAAUGACUCCACCUCAUGUACUUGAUAUUAACUGCUUAUUUAUUACCUUUUUGUAUUUAGAGUUUGUUGUCUUUUGCACAUAGAUUGUCUACCCUGUUGGUGUGGUCUUUCAUUGAUUCUAUUAUGGUUAUUGGAUUUAUUGAGCAUGCCCAGAAAAAAUGAAUCUGUAUAUGGUGACAUAUUUACUUUGUUAAUAAAUUUUGAACUUCUGGAAUUUGAAGGCG